GAUGAACGCUGGCGGCGUGCCUAAUACAUGCAAGUCGAGCGAACAGAUGAGGAGCUUGCUCCUCUGACGUUAGCGGCGGACGGGUGAGUAACACGUGGAUAACCUACCUAUAAGACUGGGAUAACUUCGGGAAACCGGAGCUAAUACCGGAUAAUAUAUUGAACCGCAUGGUUCAAUAGUGAAAGACGGUUUUGCUGUCACUUAUAGAUGGAUCCGCGCCGCAUUAGCUAGUUGGUAAGGUAACGGCUUACCAAGGCAACGAUGCGUAGCCGACCUGAGAGGGUGAUCGGCCACACUGGAACUGAGACACGGUCCAGACUCCUACGGGAGGCAGCAGUAGGGAAUCUUCCGCAAUGAGCGAAAGCCUGACGGAGCAACGCCGCGUGAGUGAUGAAGGUCUUCGGAUCGUAAAACUCUGUUAUUAGGGAAGAACAAAUGUGUAAGUAACUAUGCACGUCUUGACGGUACCUAAUCAGAAAGCCACGGCUAACUACGCG
rnacentral:rRNA from 1 species